rnacentral:rRNA from 1 species
CAGUAGCCGCGGUAAUACGUAGGGUGCAAGCGUUAAUCGGAAUUACUGGGCGUAAAGCGUGCGCAGGCGGUUUGUUAAGACAGAUGUGAAAUCCCCGGGCUCAACCUGGGAACUGCAUCCAAAACUGGCAGGCUAGAGUAGGGCAGAGGGUGGUGGAAUUUCCUGUGUAGCGGUGAAAUGCGUAGAUAUAGGAAGGAACACCAGUGGCGAAGGCGACCACCUGGGCUCAUACUGACACUGAGGUGCGAAAGCGUGGGGAGCAAACAGGAUUAGAGACCCCAGUAGUCCCUGUCUCUAAUAC